rnacentral:rRNA from 1 species
UACGUAGGCAGCAAGCGUUGUUCGGAAUUACUGGGCGUAAAGAGUGUGUAGGCGGUGCUCUAAGUUUGGUGUGAAAUCUCCCGGCUCAACUGGGAGGGUGCGCCGAAAACUGGAAUGCUUGAACAUGGGAGAGGAAGGCGGAAUUCCUGGUGUAGCGGUGAAAUGCGUAGAUAUCAGGAGGAACACCUGUGGUGUAGACGGCUUUCUGGACCAUAGCUGACGCUGAGACACGAAAGCGUGGGUAGCAAACAGG